CAGUUUUAAAAUGUAGGAAGCUUUGCCAAAAAAUGUUUUUAUUUUUCAGAAACGAAAUUUCAUCAUUGCUUCCCUUUUUUGUGUUGGCAAGGCGUCACGCAUUGAGAUUUCGUGCACGCCAUUUGCCUCAGUCGUGUGGACGGGAGAUGCGAGAUUCGAGAUGCGGAUGAUGUUCAUGUUUGUCGCCGACCUCGGGCAGAAGGGGAACAGAGCACGUGAGCUGGCAUACGGACAGGAUAGCCGAACGGACAGAGGAACUCCCUGGAUGGUCGAAAAAAUGACGCUGAGAUGAAAUACGAGGGCUGUUUAUCAGCUUUGCAAGAGCAGGCAGGCAGGCAGGCAGACAGACAGGCAGCCGUAGACCGAGUAUCCCUCGGUCACCAGGUUUAUCAUCAGCAGAGCUAUUAUUAUGACAUUGUAAUUACUUGUGGAUAUUUUACAGGCAGCUUCCGCUGCCCUGAAAUCUAGGUUGUCUCUUCGCUGGAAUUCUCAGUGCUUCUUCGACUGUGCCAUCCUUAUUUUGUAUGCCUGCUUGAUCCACCCGAGUAUCUGGUAAUCCCCAAAAACUAUUGUCGCGCAUGCUCCACAAGUUGCCUGCAUAUCAAGGAGCUAGGCACGCAAUUGGGCAGCCAUUUACGUUGCUUGAUUGGAAUUGCGUGGAGGGGGAGUGAAGGAGGGAUGUGCCUCUGUCGCAUUGUACUCGUGUGGCCCUGUUGGACGGUUUUCCCAUGCGAGAUCUUGAUUUUUUAUAAAAUUUAUUAAAAAUCAGCCACGUUCAUGAUCAUGAUCUUGAUCAUCAAUGUCUUCCUCUUCCGUACAAUCGAAACUUUCUCUCUUUCUCUAAUAUACAUAUGUAUAUGUAGGCCUCAAAGAAGAGUAUAAAGCACAUAAGACAAUCCAAAACAAAUUCUGAUGACAAUGCUCUAAGAGGAUCAAUAAAAUGGCUCGACUGUUCCUGACUGUUUCGGCGGUGAGGACGUGGCUCCCACUAAUCCCUAGCAAUUGAAGAGUGUACCUGGCCGGCACCAUAUACAGCCCGGAUGUAAACCGCCUACUGAAGAGAGAAGUCGCGGCAUACAGGCGGCGGCUCCGUCAGACUCGCCGGCUUUAGGAGCCAUGGUCGUCUCCUUAUCGCUCACGAGCCACGAUACGUGGUAAUCCAAUAAGGAGCAGGUAGAAUAGUCUCCGUAGUCAUAAUGUUGUAGUCAUAUAGUUCAUCUAGCAGUUGUAGAUAAGAUUUUUUUGUAGUCAUGCAAGUAGCCAUUUGUAGUCAUAUACAUAAGUUAUCUUUGGUAGCAGUUAAGUUAAAAGUUGUAAGUCACUAGUACGUAAAAGAAUAGUAGUUUAGUCAGUAGGAAGACUAGUACGUUAGCUAAACAAUGAAGUUGCCCUGCCCAGCGUGGUGAGAGCUCACGAGAGCGGAAAACACCCGCUGCGGUAGACUUGUGCUGCCGAAUACAGGAACGCUGCUCGAGUCCGCGAACAAUGAAUCGGACAUAGUUUUUCAACGUAGAAAAAAUGUACAUGAGAGACACGCCAACUUCGUAUUUGCUCGGCUCUGUCUAUGGUACGACAAACCAUUGUUUGGUCAGUGGUACUAUAUGAUGUAUAAUAUAACAAAUUGUUUGUGUAUAUUAGAUUUAAAUACUGUUAAUUAUAUAUAUUGUAAUUUGUAUUGUUAA